UGGAGGACUGAGAAGGUUGAGCAGCUUGUGCUGUGCUGUUAUAACUGGUUAUAACCUCCUAGAAUAACACACAAACCACUCUUAUCACGUGGCUCUGUCUCAAGCAGAGCUCAUCUGUAGUGUGUUUGUUAACAAAAU